UGUUAAAAAUUUCAUCCAAUUCUACUGUUAAAAACUGAUGUGGUUGACGAAAUAACCAAACAAUUACACAUGGUAUGCCACGUGCACCUCAUGCUGACGUACAUGGACCAGUUUUUUAACAGUAAAAAUAGAAAGAAUUUUUAAUA
rfam:Gossypium arboreum cultivar AKA8401 contig_137_1, whole genome shotgun sequence.